CCUACGGGUAGCAGCAGUGAGGAAUAUUGGUCAAUGGACGCAAGUCUGAACCAGCCAUGCCGCGUGCAGGAAGACGGCCCUAUGAGUUGUAAACUGCUUUUGUACAAGGGUAAACGCAGAUACGCGUACCUUUCUGAAUGUACCGUACGAAUAAGGAUCGGCUAACUCCGUGCCAGCAGCCGCGGUAAUACGGAGGAUCCAAGCGUUAUCCGGAUUUAUUGGGUUUAAAGGGUGCGUAGGUGGGCUGAUAAGUUAGUGGUGAAAGCGCGAGGCUCAACUUCGGAAUUGCAUCUGAUACUGUCAGGCUAGAGAGUAGUUGCGGUAGGCGGAAUGUAUGGUGUAGCGGUGAAAUGCUUAGAGAUCAUACAGAACACCGAUUGCGAAGGCAGCUUACUAAGCUACUUCUGACGUUGAGGCACGAAAGCGUGGGGAGCAAACAGGAUUAGAUACCCCUGUAGUC
rnacentral:rRNA from 1 species